GACGAACGCUGGCGGCGUGCUUAACACAUGCAAGUCGAGCGGUAAGGCCCUUCGGGUACGACGAGCGGCGAACGGGUGAGUAACACGUGGGUGACCUGCCUCUAGCUCUGGGAUAAGCCUGGGAAACUAGGGUCUAAUACCGGAUAUGACUCCACGGCGCAUGUUGUGGGGUGGAAAGCCUUGUGUGGCUAGAGAUGGGCCCGCGGCCUAUCAGCUUGUUGGUGGGGUGAUGGCCUACCAAGGCGACGACGGGUAGGCCGGCCUGAGAGGGCGACCGGCCGACACUGGGACUGAGACACGGCCCAGACUCCUACGGGAGGCAGCAGUGGGGAAUCUUGCGCAAUGGGCGAAAGCCUGACGCAGCGACGCCGCGUGAGGGAUGACGGCCUCGGUGUAACGUACUU
rnacentral:rRNA from 1 species